CUCAGUGUUGAUCGAUACUAUCCAGCGCUACCGUCGCCAUAUUAGCUACUAUCAGCUGCUCUCUUGACUCCUCUUCUAAAAUCGCCGAAAUCCGAACACCGUGAGCUGGAGAAAGACUUCUUGUGCCGCACUGAGACUACCUGAGACUAACAAAGCGACUGCGCAGUAGACGACAGAGAUUCUUACUGACCGCCACAGGAACUUCCGUCAGUCACCUCUCUUAUUAUAUAUCCACUUCAACCUUAAUUUCAUCUACACUGUUAAAAAUGUUUGGAAUUCAACAACGCUUCUGCAAGACUUCUGCAACACAAGCGUAAGACCCGAGUUGAGGAAACUAUUUUGAAUGGAACAUCAGGUUUUGAGAUUCCCAAAAAAGAUCUCAUACGAUUUGUUAAGAGCGAAAUAAACGUGGAGGAGUUCAUUGAACAAGUUUCAAAAACAACUCAAGGCAGGAUCCACCCUAAGAUCUUAUGCCUUCAAUCGGAGGCUGGAGAUAAUUUUUUUUUAAUUGCCGACGGCCACAAAAUUGAAAUAGCCGACAACAGAUCUCCACUAGCAGCGUUUGACAUACUUUUUAAAAUGCAUUAUGUCAUGAAUGUUUGUUACGCGUAUUCACUGAAGUUUUUUUUAUAAUUUCAUAGAAGCAUAUUUGUAUAAAGUGCCUAAGACAAAGGCAGAAAAUUCAGUAACGACUUUAAAUAUUUUACUUUCUAAUAUCGAAUAAAUUAUAAACUUUCAUAUUGUAACUUAUUAUAUCAUUAGUUUUUAAGUUCUUU